rnacentral:rRNA from 1 species
AUUGAACGCUGGCGGCAGGCCUAACACAUGCAAGUCGAGCGGGGUUUUCGGACCUAGCGGCGGACGGGUGAGUAAUGCGUAGGAAGCUACCCGAUAGAGGGGGAUACCAGUUGGAAACGACUGUUAAUACCGCAUAAUGUCUACGGACCAAAGUGUGGGACCUUCGGGCCACAUUCUAUCGGACGCGCCUACGUGGGAUUAGCUAGUUGGUGGGGUAAUGGCUCACCAAGGCGACGAUCCCUAGCAGGUUUGAGAGGAUGGUCAGCCACACUGGAACUGAGACACGGUCCAGACUCCUACGGGGGGCAGCAGUGGGGAAUAUUGAACAAUGGGCGCAAGCCUGAUCCAGCCAUGCCGCGUGUGUGAAGAUGGCCUUCGGGUUGUAAAGCACUUUCAGUAGGGAGGAAGUGUUGCGUGUUAAUAGUACACAGCGUUGACGUUACCUACAGCAGAAGCACCGGCUAACUCUGUGCCAGCCGCCGCAGUAAUAC